rnacentral:rRNA from 1 species
AAUAUUGGACAAUGGGGGCAACCCUGUUCCAGCCUUGCCGCGUUUGUGAAGAAGGUCUUCGGUUUGUAAAGCACUUUAAUUUGGGAGGAAGGUCGUUAGGUUAAUCCCCAGAAUUUUUGACGUUACCAACAGAAUAAGCACCGCCUAACUCUGUACGAGCAGCCGCGGUAAUACAGAGGGUGCAAGCGUUAAUCGGAAUUACUGGGCGUAAAGCGCGCGUAGGUGGUUCAGUAAGAUGGGUGUGAAAUCCCCGGGCUUAACCUGGGAACUGCUUUCAUAACUGCUGAGCUAGAGUACGGUAGAGGGUAGUGGAAUUUCCUGUGUAGCGGUGAAAUGCGUAGAUAUAGGAAGGAACACCAGUGGCGAAGGCGACUACCUGGACUGAUACUGACACUGAGGUGCGAAAGCGUGGGGAGCAAAC